UACAGAGGUCUCAAGCGUUGUUCGGAUUCAUUGGGCGUAAAGGGUGCGUAGGUGGCGCGGUAAGUCGGGUGUGAAAUUUCGGAGCUUAACUCCGAAACUGCAUUCGAUACUGCCGUGCCUUGAGGACUGGAGAGGAGACUGGAAUUUACGGUGUAGCAGUGAAAUGCGUAGAGAUCGUAAGGAAGACCAGUGGCGAAGGCGGGUCUCUGGACAGUUCCUGACACUGAGGCACGAAGGCCAGGGGAGCAAACGGG
rnacentral:rRNA from 1 species